AGCGAACGCUGGCGGCAGGCUUAACACAUGCAAGUCGAGUGGGCGUAGCAAUACGUCAGCGGCAGACGGGUGAGUAACGCGUGGGAACGUACCUUUUGGUUCGGAACAACACAGGGAAACUUGUGCUAAUACCGGAUAAGCCCUUACGGGGAAAGAUUUAUCGCCGAAAGAUCGGCCCGCGUCUGAUUAGCUAGUUGGUGAGGUAACGGCUCACCAAGGCGACGAUCAGUAGCUGGUCUGAGAGGGUGAACAGCCACAUUGGGACUGAGACACGGCCCAAACUCCUACGGGAGGCAGCAGUGGGGAAUAUUGGACAAUGGGCGCAAGCCUGAUCCAGCCAUGCUGCGUGAGUGAUGAAGGCCCUAGGGUUGUAAAGCUCUUUUGUGCGGGAAGAUAAUGACGGUACCGCAAGAAUAAGCCCCGGCUAACUUCGUGCCAGCAGCCGCCGUAAUAC
rnacentral:rRNA from 1 species